rnacentral:misc_RNA from 1 species
GAUGAAGAACGUAGUGAAAUGCGAUAAGUAAUGUGAAUUGCAGAAUUCAGUGAAUCAUCGAAUCUUUGAACGCACAUUGCGCCCCCUGGUAUUCCGGGGGGCAUGCCUGUCCGAGCGUCAUUACAACCCUCAAGCUCAGCUUGGUGUUGGGCCCCGCCGCCCCGGCGGGCCCUAAAGUCAGUGGCGGUGCCGUCCGGCUCCGAGCGUAGUAAUUCUUCUCGCUCUGGAGGUUCGGUCGUGUGCUCGCCAGCAACCCCCAAUUUUUUUCAGGUUGACCUCGGAUCAGGUAGGGAUACCCGCUGAACUUAAGCAUAUCAAUAAGCGGAGGA